rnacentral:lncRNA from 1 species
UGGUACGGUUGAGAGCAGAUGGUGAGAUGAUGGAGUCGGAGGAGGACGUGUUCGAUCUGUGGCCGAGCGUGCACAUCUCGGAUUCUCGGAGGGAUUGGUGAGCGGCACCACAGAAAACGAUAUGAUCCAGUCAUCCACAGCAUGGAUGGACGCUGGUGGAUCCAUGCGUGCAUGCUUGCUCAGCAGCCUCUUCUCAGCCCCAGCUAGCUAGCUUGUCCAGUAGAUAAUUCAUCGUCUCUCUCCAAGCACCAAAAGCUUCUAUAACAUGCAA